AACGCGAAGAACCUUACCUGGGCUCGAACGGCUUAAGAUCAUCUUUGGAAACAGAGACUUCUCGCAAGAGACUUGAGUCGAGGUGCUGCAUGGCUGUCGUCAGCUCGUGCCGUGAGGUGUUGGGUUAAGUCCCGCAACGAGCGCAACCCUUACUCAUAGUUGCUACCCGCAAGGGAGAACUCUAUGAGGACUGCUCCGGAUAACGGAGAGGAAGGUGGGGAUGAGGUCAAGUCAGCAUGGCCUUUAUGUCCAGGGCUACACACGUGUUACAAUGCGCGCCACAAAGCGUCGCGAACCCGCGAGGGGGAGCUAAUCGCAAAAAAGCGCGCUCAGUUCGGAUUGCAGUCUGCAACUCGACUGCAUGAAGCCGGAAUCGCUAGUAAUGGCGCAUCAGAACGGCGCCGUGAAUACGUUCCCGGGCCUUGUACACACCGUAGAGAC
rnacentral:rRNA from 1 species